GUGCUCGCUUCGGCAGCACAUAUACUAAAAUUGGAACGAUACAGAGAAGAUUAGCAUGGCCCCUGCACAAGGAUGACACACAAGGGGGAAAACUGAGGUCCCAAAAUGUA